UGUGUGAUACUUGUCCAUUCAACUCUGAAGACUGGUAAACCCCGGAGGUGGCUGGCCCAUUUCAGAAGAGCAAGUUUAACAGCAGAAGGUAAAUCAUUGAUAGGGAGCUUAGCAAGAUUUGCAAGAUCAUCCGCAAAAAACAUCAGCUCUCUCGGUUUCCAACUUACCAUAAACCAACUGAACCGCAUUCUCAUCGCCCUUAAUGUUAGAUAAAAGUCACAAUGCUCAUCGCCCCUCUUGAUUGGAUGCUCGCCAGUUAGGACAUCCGCUGUUGUUCUGGAAUUAGUCCAUAGAAGCAACUUACGGAUCUUCAACUGUUCCGCUUUGUACAGAAGGGCAUACGCGGCAUACAUUUCCGCUUCAACCGCUGAAGAGCACACAAGGCCCGAGAAAACCUCUGAAUAAACAAUUUCAUCAUCUUUCCAGAUUAUGUAAGAGAAGCUUGCUGUGUUAGUGACACUAUCAAAUGAAGCGUCACAUUCUCCUUUGAAGAAUUGUUCCCCAGUCCCAUCAUCCGGCUGCCUAACUCCGUAAUAAUACAUCAAGGUCUCAAUGGUGGAAUAUGAUGAGUCCCAAUCCUCGAUGACAUAAACUUUCUUGUCAAGUAGGUGGUUCAGAAAAAGCUCCCAUUCACCAUCAUUGCAGCCAUGCUCGUAACACAUAACGUCGAAGCAACUCAGAUAACAAGGAUUAUGCCCACAAAUUUCCAACCUCUGACGUUGUAAAAAGACCAUCCAUCGAUCAUUGAUAGGACAAGGGCUAAUUAAACACCGCGACACCAGCUGUGGCCUAAAAUAGUUCUUGUACCUGGUCUGAAAAGCACGGACCUUAGUAGUUGUAUGAUUGGUGUCCUCUACAAUCCUCUUGCGCAAAGCUUGAACAUCACCGCGCUGAAAUUUGCUAUCGUCGUCACCUGCAACAAAUUGUAAAAGGUAGCCAAAUUUAGGGUUGCACUGAGAAACCAUAAGCUUACUUGUUUACAAUGUGUGUAACAAGUGUAGAAAUGAAACAAAUAAAUAGAUAUGACAACAGAAUUUCUUAGGGAGUUUUCUCAAAAUAGAACUUGUACAUAUAUGGUGAUCGAUAAGUGAUCAUAGCUUGUUCGAAAUUUACAAAACAUUAGCAUAAGGGCUAGAAAAACCAUGUGAAAGAAGAGACUCUGAUUGCGAGAAACGAUGAGAAACUUCUUGCCAUAAUCUUAAUAUACAGAUGAUAACCAAAAAAAAUAAACAGAGAACACAUCCAUACAAAACAACAAUUGUGUGUUUAAGUAACUGAAAUGAGAGGGGGCACAUAAUACCGUGCCAUGGGAACUUAAAAUGCAUACAUACAGGUUAAAAGUACCAAAAUGCUCAGACAUACAACAGGUUGGCAUCGCUAUAUGCAGAGAAUACAUGUGACAAUUGACAACCAAAAAUUAUGAAUCAACAGAAAUUCAAGAAAAAAUUUUAGCCGGCAAAUAUAGUUUUGACAAAGUUUUCAUAUUAUAUUUUAGCCGGCUGUCAUUACAGCAUCUACAAAUGGAGCCCCCGUACCACCCUAAACGUCCGGGCGGCCUGCCCGGUCACUGCCAGAACAAGAAAAUGGCACCCAACCGGACCCGGCAAACCCAGCCCAAAUGCUCGGUAUGACUGGCACCCGGACACAUCCGCCGACAUUUGGGGGGCUCAAAUUGGUGUGUGUGGUUGUAGAUGCUCUUACUCACCGAAUACUCAUCUGGUUGGUAAGGAAGUUCGUCCCAAUGGAGCUUUGCAAGUGCCACAUGAAUGUUCACGAGAUCUCACUUGUUGGACCGUGAAUGUAAUCUACAUGCCAAAUGGAGAUCAAGGAGUCAAAACAAAGUUAUUCACUACACUGACCUUCCUCUGGUCACAAAUAUAAGCAGUUUAUGACAUAUAUAUACAAUUACAAGUAGACAAAAUACAUAUUAUGAAACUACUUUUCAUGAUCGAUGAAUCGGGUAGAAAUUAAACCUUGUACUGCAAAACUAUUGACAGUCAAAGUUGAGAGAUUUGACUUGGGAUAAACCUUAAACUAAUUUAUGUUUGUGAUGAGAGAUGCUUUGAACAUGAUGAAAGUGCUAGCAUCCUAUGUAAGCCCGGAUUAUAGUCCCCGGAAAAAGAAAUGUUUUCUUACAAUAGGUCUAUGGGUGCAAGUAACGUUACUACUACAUGCCGGCCAGGAGUAGAAUUGUCCUGGUACACAAGCUUAUUUUAUUUGGUUAAAUAAAACAUAUUAGAAUUUACUUUGGCACGCAUAGGGACAAGAAACAAACUGUCAAGCAAUCCAGUCUAUGUCCAGAUAUUAUUCAUCGGUCAUCACUCAAUCUGCGUUUGCAGACUUGGAAGGUACAAUAGUACAAUUUAGAGCCUUGCGUUGGCAAAUCCCACCGUGACAACAAAAAAAAGUACUUAAACGCUACAAUUAUUAGCACCCUUCAAAAUCGUUUGCAAAAGGAACAAGAUAGAAAAAGAAUAUAAAGCAUAAGCCGUCUCCAUUGAAAAUUGGUCCAUUAAUCAAAAAGGACUUAUUCUUCCUCCUUCCUUUUCCACUGAAAAAUAAAUACACGUAAUCCUUCUGUACAGUAUCAUUUCGUUUUCUAAUGAAAGGAACCAUCCACCAUUAUCAAAAUCUAUACGAGAAUUUUAAGAAGAAGAAAAAUGGCCCCGAUGUUUCCUUGGGUUAAGAAAAAAAGAAAACAGAUGGGUUGCAUCUCACACUUUAACAAGCAUCUGACACAUCCAGUAAUAUCCUGCCUCCAUUGGUAACAGGCUAGGGAGGGCGUAGAGCGUGCAGAUCCGUGACCGCGUACGGACGCAUCGCUCCUUGGGUGGGGAUGGGAUGGGAGGGAUGCAUCGCAUCAACCAGCAGUCCCUGCAGGAUGCAGGAUGAGGGGGAAAUCAAAUACCCAAAGGGGGAAAAGGCAGGGCCAAGAAAUCAGUAAACAAAUGCAUACCGGAUGACGCAGGCAGGCGACGUAAGAUUGGGUCUCCAUACUCUCUCUUUUCGCAAAGAGGGGGGCGCAGAGAGAGACCUCCCCUUACGCCUCUCCGGAGCAAAUCUCCCACUCCAUGACCAGAUUCCUUUCCUACCUGCGCACGCAACGCAGGAGAGAGACGGAGCAGCUGGCGCCGCACGAAAAGUGGAGAGAUCUAUUUCCAGCCGCCGCAGGAGAUAGAUAGAGGAGGGGAUGAGGGGUGCAGCUGGGCUAUUUGUGCAACCCUAGGACGUCAAAUCCCGAUCUUACCCCUACCCCGGAUGAAAUACCUCUCGUGCCCUCGCUGCGCGCGAAUUUCCUUUUAUACCCCAACUUCGGCUCAGUCUCUUUUCGUUUUUUAUUAGGGUACCACCGUACCAGCCAGUGAUUAAGUUUUUUUUCUCUAUUUCAUUUAUCAGCCAGUCACUAAUUCUGGGAAAAAGGAGGAGUACUGAUUGUUGUUCUUGGGGAUGAUGGUUACUCGCGUGUUUCUUUUCUUUAUUUAUAGCUGGAAACCUCCCAAAGUUACCACCAAACCGAUACAACCCGGUGGCACUUGGAUUCAAGUUUUACAACUUACUAUGUUACUUCAACAAGUAGCUGUAAGUUCAGGCCACGAAUAUGUUACUUCAACGAGUACUAGACCUAUCAUGGGACCCUACUAUGAAAGCUGUAAGUUCCCAUGACAAAGCAAAACUAGAGUAUCAGGUUGUAAACCUAUGAUGCACAGCUACAGAACACUAAGUAGCAUAUAAUAAGGUUCAAAGAACAUACUAAAUUUCUUGACAGCUGUUUGUGUGAUACUUGUCUGUUCAACUCUGAAGACUGGUAAACCCCGGAGGUGGCUGGCCCAUUUCAGAAGAGCAAGUUUAACAGCAGAAGGUAAAUCAUUGAUAGGGAGCUUAGCAAGAUUUGCAAGAUCAUCCGCAAAAAACAUCAGCUCUCUCGGUUUCCAAGUUACCAUCAACCAACUGAACCGCAUUCUCAUCGCCCUUAAUGUUAGAUAAAAGUCACAAUGCUCAUCGCCCCUCUUGAUUGGAUGCUCG
rnacentral:lncRNA from 1 species